GAAGCUAGGUUAAUUUAGGUUGAGGCUCCUGGAGCUCACAGUCUGAGAAGGAGGGAGAAGUAUUUUAUGCCCAUUGUAGAAAUGAGGCAACUGAGGCAAAGGGAAGUUAAAUGACUUGCCCAAGGUCACAUGGCAAGCAAGUGGUGGUCUUAGAACACAGAUCACCUGAUCCCCAGACUCCUUGGAUUAAUCAAAGUGACCCCCCACUCAAUAGUGCCGCAGUCUCCCAAGCACUUAGUACAGUGUUCAGCGCACAGUAAGCACUCAAUAAAUACUAAUUAUUGAUGAACUCAAAGGAGGAGCUGGGCCGCAGGACCUCUCUGCUCCGAGAGUUGCCUCUCCCCUGCCUCAGCUCAGAGCUGAGUUCAGAGGCAGGCGGCCCAGUUUUCUGGGCACCUUCUUUUCCAGACCUUUCCCUUUUUGUGAGCCACAGAAUCCUCUGCCCCUUCUCCUGCCCUCCCUCACGGAUGGCUGUUAUCAAUCUCGGCAAAGUAGCAUUUUGCUGCCUUGGACUGGCCAGAUCCAUUGGACAAUUGGAUUGGCAAGGAGGAAGAACAACUUUCCUACCGCUGUCCUUUUGCUUUUUUGGCAACACACCGAUCCUCUUUUAAGUGCUGAGCUGGAUAAAUAAUAGGGCUAAUGAUAAUAGUAACCCGGAUUCAUGCUGAUAGAGGGCUUUUCAUUGGUAAACAUUAUUAAUACCAUCAAUCAGUGGUAUUUAUUUUCCUGCCCCCUUUUGCCCCCCACAAAACCAAGGCCACGAAAUCCUCUUUGCCUGGAGCUGCUUAAAGGGCCAUCAGUGACCCUGCCUCAACUCUGGUAUGGCACAGUCCACUGAAGCGACAAUACAUCUAAAGAAAACUGAAGUUACGUACCAGUUAUGUACCACUAAGUUCCCGCCUUCUCUCGGGAAAAGGAUGUAGAUUUCAUCAGCAACGCAAAAAGCUUAAUGCUAUCAACAACACACAGGUAAACCAAGAAGUGGAAAACAGAAUCAAAAGGGCCAACAGGGCUGUUGGCAGAUUGUCCGACAUACUGUGGCAAAGACGUGGUACUUCUAAGAAUAUUAUUUAAAAUGUGCCCUUGGUUUUA